UGUCAGCCGGAGUUCCGUAGGAUUUAGUUCUAGGUCGAACUCCAAGAAAUGGUAAUGUUCCUAAUGGAUGACGAACAUGUCUGUUUGCAUAUUAGGCGGACACAUCAACGCCAUCACUCCAUCUCAGUUUGGCUCUACCACGGCUCCUCUGUCCAUGUGGACGACCUAAAAAGUACACAUUUGAUAUACAGACACUGCCAAGAUGAUUCGUUAUUCGUAAAUAUCCAUGGGUAAGGGUAAAUCGUAGGGGCUAACCGAAAGCUUUAGUGAGCAAUGUAUUUUUCAUUUUUGGUCUUCCAGGUGUUUGCAGAUCAAAGGAGAUCGCAAAAGUAAAGAAAAGGAUAGAAAUGUAAUGGGCUAAAUCACUCAAGUACAGUGCUCUAAGAUCCUGCUCAUUGUAAGGAUAGACUUCCGAAUUGUUGAGAGAAUCGUUCGAUACUGCACAUUAGAAAGCUGAACAAGACGAUGCGACAGCAGAGAUGAAAAUUAUUUCCACACAC